GGGCACCUAUUCUAUGUCAGGCACUUUGUUACAUAAUGGGAAUUCAAAUUACAACCCUUGUUCUCUGAUAUUACAUUGUAUUAUAGCAGAGACAAGCAUUCCAGUUAACAAUUGCAGUAUAAUCUGAUAAAUGCACUUAGAGAAGUGUGUAGGGAGCACAAUAGAGGAACCAGUGAAUUCCUUGCUAGUCAUUUUAAGGUCAGGAAGUUACAUGGCUGGAAAGUUUCUUUAAACACUGGAAAGUAAGCAAAGAAGGGACAUGCUCAGAUCACUUGAACUGGGACUUGAAUAAUUUGGUGGGAAUCAGCAAAGGAAUAAAGAGAGAAGAGGUCAUCCCAAGCAAGAGAAGUAACAUAUUUUUAGACAUGGAGCCUUGGCACUGCCUUAUAUUUUAUUCACUUAUGUAACAGAUUUUAAGAGUGCUUAUCUAAGGCCAGGUAAUGUGUUAGAUGCCAAGCUUAGAUAGACAUGACACUGUCCUCUUGAGGCUUACAGUGUAGUGUGGAGAUUGACCCCCAUUAAAUAAUCAUAUAGAAGUAUAAUCACACAUAGUGAGGCAAUCACAGGACAGGAGCACAGAACUAUGAGUGAGAUUCUUGAGACUGUGUAGUUUACUUUAUCUGAAGCUGGAGAAUGAAGGUGGCAGUUGUCAAGAGGGGUAGAAUCAAGAAUCAGAGGCAAAUGGGCUACCUCACAAAGGGCCUCCAUGUCAACAUAGCAACACAGACUUUAUCUGAAACACAUGGGACUCACCUUUAGAGUAGAAGGAAUGUAGGCAAGAAAGAGAACAUGGUGUGACUGCAGGAAUAAAAGCUGGCCAAAAGAAAGGACAAUUCAUGGUAAGGUUACAGAGAGCUCAGAGACAUCUGGCUCAGGUGAUGAAGUCUGUGAGAGCAUCACUGAACUUGAAAUAAAAACUUUACAGAUGCUCACAUGCCUACUGACUCUAUUGAACGUAUUUACAAUAAGAAGACUGACCAAUUAACUAAAAUUAGCUCUAAUACCCUGAAGAUCAUCCCAAGUGCCCAAAAUGGGUGCGCGAACACACUGGACAUGCAGGAGCCAAAGCUACGUACAGGAUUUUUAUCUCAAAAUAAAGAAAAGGCAAUGAGUACAACUGAAGAAAUCCAAAGGGUACAAGUAGAUUGCUGGCUACUUGGGAAGAUGUGGUGGGAAAACACUUUCUUACAAACUAACAAGGUUCUCAUGCUCACAAGGAAGGCACGAGAGAAAAAGAAGGUGAAAGUUGCUUUUGUGGUUCAGAGGACCGAGGAACAAAUAACAGCAUAA
rnacentral:lncRNA from 13 species